GGUGUGUGUGUGUGUGUGGGUGUGUGUGUGUGUGUGUGUGUGUGUGUGUGUGUGUGUGUGUCUUCUUCCUGGUUGGUAACUGAUGACUGUGAUGUAUAGUUGAUGUAAUAUUGACCUUGGAGGCGAGCGCAGCGCAGCGAGGCGACUCUUGGAUCCGGGUUUUUGUAUUUUUAUUCUUGUAUAAGGUUAUCAGGGGGCCACCGGCUCCUUUCGGGGGGGGCCCCAGGCUCCGUUCGGGGGGGCCCCAGGCUCCGUUCGGGGGCCCCAGGCUCCUGUGUGUUAUUUAAAUUCUAAUAUAUGAGAAUCAUAUUUGGAUCGAAGUCACGUUCGAGGGCCUUUGCUGUGUUUUUUUUUUCUUCUUCUUUUCUUUAUUUCGAAAUGUAAAGCCUUUUGAAUGUGAAGAAUUAUUGUAAACUAUGAUAUUUUACAGCUUUUUCUUUCUUUUUUCGGUUCAGUUCUUUUUCCCCGUUCGUUCGUUCGUUCAUUUUUUUUUUCCUUCUUUACUAUAUCAUAAACAUUUUCUAUUUGCUCAGUGAUCGACUCAUAUUCUGAUAAUUUAAAGCCUUUGCCAUUCACAGGCUCGGUCCACACGUGAGCGAGUGUACGUGUAACGUGUACGUGUGUGUGUGUGAGAGCGUGUGAACUCAUGUGGGCGGAGCGUGCGUUUGCGUUCGGCGCUGUGUGUAUUCUUCCUCGUCCAGCUCUCGAGCUCGACACCACCUAGAACUGAAAUAAAGCAUGUAGGGGUUUAGGCCGACAGAGACUCCGCCUCCUGUCUUUUUUGUAAAAGAGUUUGUGUACACACACACACACACACACACACACACACACAAUACAUGCAUCAACUUGGCCAUUUUCACACUAAUUUGCAUAAAAAACGCCCCCAAAUAACCAUAUAUGGCAAACAUGAAGCCCAAUAGACUUUAAGGUGAUGCAGGUCAUGGAUGUCGAAAAGGGUCAAAAGUUAUUGAUAAGCGACGAGAGAGAUCUCAUGAGGGACCAGGCGGCUCUACAGUUUCUUUCUUAACCGUACACAUGUCCUUCAAAGAUUCCUGUUUUGCAAAGCAAGAUGCACUGUACGGUCAACCGUGUGUGGACACGUGGCCCUCCACUCUUCUGGGAAGAUGUUCCACAAGAUUUUGUGCUGAUUAUUAGUUGAAGUCAGGUUACUGAUGUAGGUGAGGAGGCCUGGGGUGCAGCCAGAAUGAAAUCCCCACAUAGGUCUCAUAGUUCAUAGAAUGCAUCAUCCGUUGCACCACAGAAGGAAAAUCAUCUUCAGACUCGUGAUCUGGUCACCAGUACCAUCUGACAUUUUUUUGCAGGGUUGAUCUUGGACUUGGAUCCACCUGCAUCACCUUUCCACUGGUAACCCUAGACUUUAGUCUUGGACUUGGCCCAGGUUUCUCACCACCUCGUCUUCAUAUUCAGCUUAGAGAAGUUCUCGGAGUGCUAAAUGCCUACUCAUCAUCUUUAUAGCUGUGUGUGUGUGUGUGUGUUUUUUUAAAAAGUGGCCUUCAGAACUAGUCUCCUUUAACAGAGCUCCCUCUAGUGAGAUGGGGAUUUUGUCCGAUCUGGCAACCCCGCCAGGUAAAGCGCGCUCACGUGUGUGUGUGUUGUCACUCGUUCUAGUGUGGAGAUCCGCGCACCAGGCAUGGGCUCCUCUUCAACCCCGUAAGUUUGGCACUUUUUCGCCCACUUUUAUUUCCCAAACUCAUGUGAUACAGAUCGGAUCAGAUCGGACGGUCUAGUUUGCGCGCGCGCAGAAAGACACAGUGAUGGACACCGCUGCGGGUCCGAGUCCAGGUACGAGCGCGGGUCCGGGUUCGGGUUCGCCCGCGUGCAUGCUGACCGGCUCGUCACGGUGGGUCAGACUGAACGUGGGGGGCACUUACUUUCUCACAACCACGCAAACUCUGUGCCGGGAGCCCAAGUCUUUCCUGUACCGGCUGUGCCAGGAGGAUCCCGAGCUCCACUCUGACAAGGAUGAGUCGGGUGCAUAUUUGAUUGACAGAGAUCCGGUGUACUUCGGCCCUGUGCUGAACUACCUGAGACACGGCAAACUGGUCCUCAAUAAAAACCUGACUGAAGAAGGAGCUCUGGAGGAGGCGGAGUUCUACAACAUCACGUCGCUAAUUAAACUCAUCAAGGACAGGAUCACAGAGCGGGAAGCCAAAUCCAUGCACACUCCAUUGAAGCAUGUGUACCGGGUGUUGCAGUGUCAGGAGGAGGAACUCACUCAGAUGGUCUCCACCAUGUCGGAUGGAUGGAAGUUUGAGCAGGUGAAGGGGGAGGAGUCGUGUCAAACUCGCCCCGCCCACUGCCAAGAGGCGUAUCCCUCGGUUUUGCUCCUGUUGCCGUGUCGUCCUGAUUUUUUUUUAUCGAUCUGGUUUUCGUUAUAUGUUUCGUUCGUGUCUACGUCAUUGAUGACCGUUCCGGCAACAUUAAAAAAUAAAGUUUGCCUAAUCACAAUUUCCGACUUCUUUUCCCGUAAUUACAACUUUAUUUUUCGCAAAUCCCAAUUUUUUUUUCUCGCAUUUUGACUUUAUUUCUCGCAAUUCCGACUUUUUUUCCCUCACAAUUCCGGCUUUAUUUCUUGCAAUUCCGUCUUUUUUUCCCUCGCAUUUUGACUUUAUUUCUCGCAAUUCCGACUCUUUUUCUUGCGAUUUUUACUGUAUUUCUCGCAAUUCCGACUCUUUUUCCCCUCACAAUUCCGGCUUUAUUUCUUGCAAUUCCGACUUUUUUUUCUUGCAAUUUUUACUCUGAAUACACAGGACUUUUCCUGGUGUGAAUCCCGGCCUGGUUUUUAGACUAGGAGUCGAUUAUGGAACGCCAAAGGUGUCACGUCGGUUUGGCGUGUGCAUGAACAUGUUGGUGCAUGCUCGUGUUCCUGUUUUUGCGACUUGGCAACAACAAGGGUGCGCCGAGGCAUGUCCGAGCAUGUCGGAACUGUAAUGCAGCUGUGUGUGUGUGUGUGUGUGUGUGUGUGUGUGUGUGCACAGCUAGUAAGCAUCGGCUCCUCCUACAACUACGGCAGUGAAGACCAAGCCGAGUUCCUGUGCGUCGUUUCCAAGGAGCUUCAAAACCAGUCAUGCGGUAACACCAGCCCGCCGAGCGUGAAAGCCAAGAUCCUUCAGGAGCGAGGUUCUCG